ensembl:lncRNA
CCACGCCGCUCUCCCUCCCGCCAGGGGGCGCCGCCCGCCGCAAUUAGAAGCUCAUUUGCAUAUAUUUAAAUGAAGUCGCGGUUUGUUUUUUUUUUUAUUAACAGCGCAAACGCCGCUUUCGCUCUUUUUAUUGCCAAAAUCUCGAGGAAGCUCCCGCGAGAAGCGGAAAAAGCGGGGGAGGAGCCACGCCAAGCGCGGUGAAAACACAAAUUUGGGGGAAAAAUUCCCCCAAAUCCAAGAAAAAAAACACAAAAAAAAAAAGCUCCAAAACAGAAGGAAAAGCCCCAAAUUUAUCUCGUUAUUAAUUAAAAACAGCCCCGGGGGCUCUCCCGGCUCCAUCCCCGGGGGGGAAAAAAGCAGAAUUUGGGGGAAUUUGGGAAAAUUUGGGGGGGAAUUGAGGAAUUUUGGGGGUUCUGGGAUGAGCUGGAGCCAAAAAUCCACGGGAAUUAAGGCAAAUCUGGGAUUUUUUUGUGAGCACCCGUCGUGGUUUUUUUUUUUUGGGAAGUUGUUCCUGAAAUUAUCCCCGGAAGGGGUUAAUUAAUUAUUAAUUAAUUACUAAUAAAAGCCAUAAAUAAAGGAGGAGAGCGAGGAAAAACAACCAGGAAAAUGGGAAUAAUUUUAAAUAAAAAAAAUCUCUGGGUGGAGCUCUCCGUGUCCGGAAAUUCCCAAAUCCCCGGGGGGAAAAAAAAUUGGGGAAUUUUGGUGCUGGUUUGGCCUCGCUGCUCCCAUCGGGAUCUGCCGGGAUCCGCUGGGAUCCACUGGGGAUUUCCCCCUCUUUACAGGGGAUCCAACAUUGAUUUCCCACCUUGGGAUCCUCCCUUGGGAUCCUCCCUUGGGAUCUUCCCUUUUUUUUCAGGAUCAAACCCUGAUUCCCGUGGGAUUCCCGUUUUUCCCAGGGGAUUCCCCCCUUGGGAUCCCCCUUUAUCCAGGGGAUUCCCCCCUGGGGAUCCCCCCCUUGGGAUCCCCCUUUUCCAGGGGAUUCCCCCCUUGGGAUCCCCCUUUUUCCCAGGGGAUUCCCCCUUUCCCAGGGGCUCCAGCUCCGUUUUUCCCUGAUGGAUCCCCCAGCAGGAUUCCCCAGUGGGAUCCCCCAGUGGGAUUCCCUUCCCCGGGAUCCCCCAGCAGGAUUCCCGGGAUCCCUCAGCAGGAUCCCCAUCAGGAUCUCCCCAUCGGGAUCUCCCCUGGGAUCCCCAUCG